rnacentral:rRNA from 1 species
CUAACAAGGAUUCCCCCAGUAACGGCGAGUGAAGCGGGAUGAGCUCAAAUUUGAAAUCUCCGGUGCUUGCACCGGCGAGUUGUAGUUGCGAGAAGCACUUUCUAGGCGGAUCGGUGGCGCCUAAGUUGCUUGGAACAGCAUGUCGCAGAGGGUGACAACCCCGUCUGUGGCGUGGCCGGCCGCUGACGAUGUGCUUUCGAAGAGUCGGGUUGUUUGGGAAUGCAGCCCAAAAUGGGUGGUAAACUCCAUCUAAAGCUAAAUAUUGGCGUGAGACCGAUAGCGAAGGAAACGAAUGGACUCAGCAAUGCGCCGUUUGAGAUUCAGCCGGUGGGUGGGAUCGGCUUCGGGUUUGCGGAUCUGAAUGGACCGCGGCCUGGGGCUCGUUUGUCCUCGCCGUCGCACUUCUCUUGGGCGCGCGUCAACGUCGGUUGGGACUGGGUCUGAAAGGUGCCGGGAAGGUAGGUCUGGACCUCCGGGUCCGGUCUGUUACAGCUCGGUUCUCUCAUGGCUCGGGCCCGACCGAGGAGUGGCAGCGCAUGCCUCUUGUGGCUAGGGUGCCGUCCUUCCGGCCGGUUGUCGAAUGCGGUGGACUGCUUGCAGUGCUCCGCGACUGCUGCCGGUCGUUGGGGUGGUGAUCU